CUGGAUUCCUGAGAAUACAAGUUAUUUGAAAAGAGUAGAUCAACAUUUAAGCUGGUGAGUUCAUAAAUAUUUUAGUUCUGUAAAGUAUACUCUAGGUUCUUUGAAAAAGUUCAUUGGUUCCUCUAGAAAAUCCUAUAUUUCCUGAGGUGAUAAACUGAUAACUUCAAUAGUUUCCCUCUGUAAUUACUUAGUUUAUAUUAAUUAUGUAUAACCUAAUAUCAAACUGACAGUGAAAUGGGUGGAUCUUCCCUAAGCCUACAACCAAAACAAGGAACAGAAAGUAAGGCGGAAGUCACACAUUUCACUGUCAAUCGGAUAUUACUUAUUUAUAACUCUGAUGUCAUAACUAAGGACUUAUAGAAUUAACCACUAAAGGUCUUUUAUGUUAUACUAGUUUACAGAGAUUUAAUGACUAAGUUUCAUUUGAUAAGUGGUUUAAUUCCAUAACCUGUUUCAUUUGUAAAAGUGGCUUAAUCCCAUAACCGUUCCAUUUGUAAAAGUGGUUUAAUCCCAUAACCGUUCCAUUUAUAAAAGUGGUUUAAUCCCAUAAACCGUUCCAUUUGUAAAAGUGAUUUAAUCCCAUAAACCGUUUCCUUUGUGUAAGUGGUUAAAUCCCAUAAACCGUUUCUUUUGAAAGAGUGGUUUAAUUCCAUAAACCGUUUCAUUUGUAAAAGUAUUCUUAGUUAUAUAUGUUCUAUGGUAAAAACCUUAGUAUUAAUCCUGGAAAAUAUUAUAUUAUCCAUAAUACUGCCUUGUGGUUUUAAAUGUUCAAAAACAGAAGUACAAGUAUAUUUACCAUACUUGAUUUCAUGAUACGUAGCUUUUACUGUAAGUAAAAACUACAGAAGGUAUAUUUGGUCGGGAUGUAAUUAUCUUUUCUUACUGUUUUAAGAGAAGUAUAUUACUUAGUAAUUCACUCAUUGUUUUAUCCAUGUGAGUUCUAUUAACCAUACUAAUAUGACUGAUAUGCCUGCGGCGACGUUCUUCAGGCGUCAGAAUGGAAUGAUAUUUGACACCCUAGGCCUGCCGGCCAAAUUAUAGCGAACAGUAGAGGUGCGGGAUUUUCUGUCUCAUAUAGAUCUAUACACAAAUUCACGCUCUCCCUACAAGACAUUCUGGUGAAUAGGUCAGGACUUAAAGUCGUACUUAAAUAAGUACACCGUGAAGGGUCUCAUAAAUUUAUUGUUUCAACGAGAUUUACGAUGUAUUAUUACCCCGUGAUUGCUAACCCUGGUACUCUGUAUCGUACCUUUGUUAAUGCAAACUCGGUAUGAUGUAUUAUUACCCCGUGAUUGCUAACCCUGGUACUCUGUAUCGUACAUUUGUUAAUGCAAACCCGGUAUGAUGUAUCUUUACUUCUUUAAUAUGUUAUUCGUAUAUUAAAGGCAUUAUACAUAUCCUGGUAUAGUUAAAUAAGUUUUGGUACUUUCCUCGGAAUGUGAAUCAUACUCGUAUAUUUAGUUUUGAAUCAUAAAUUAUACCUAUUAUAAUUUAUAUGCUCUAUCUGGUUAACAUGAUUUCUCAUGGAUGAACACCUUUGCUCAGCCUGAUACAUAGGUAAUGAUACCAAAACGAGUGACCUUUUUAUACUAAUAUAUGUAUAAUAUAUAAUUAAGAAGGAAACGACCUUUGGACAAAUAACACAACCUUAAGUCCACAUCCAAACAAGGAAAAGGAAAUAAGAUAAUUCAUUAGUCCUAAGUCCUUCAAAUCUUAUUUAUAUAUUUAGACAUAUAUAAACAUGAUUUUUUUGGCAUUUAUAGUUUGAAAUAGUUUAUAAAACAUUUUUCAAAGAAUUUAACAGAGUUUACAUGACUUUAAAUAUUUAACAUGGCUUUAAGUCAUUUUGGAUGUAUUUGGUAAUUCUUGAAAGCAUAUGGAAACUAUUUGCGUGAUUAUUAUCACAUACAGUUAUUAACACAAUUUAAUAUUGUGUUAAACUUAUAUUCCCCCCUAAAAAGCAUUUAGAAACCAUUAAAAAUGUAAAUUAUAGGGGUAUGAACUCACCUUGAUAGAUGGUCAUUCGGGCAGCGUUUCGUUUCCCGGAAAAUAGUUUGUUUGACGAAAAAUCGGCUUAAAUCGGGCAGAGUUUCGACAGGAGAGAGGAUGAAUUCUCGAGAAUUACGGGGCUCCGGGGCUUUCUUCGGGUUUUGGAUGUGAUACCGGGGCAUUCGGGGGUCGUGAGAAAGUCAAGGGGGUGAAAAGGUGAAAAUUAGUGAAAUUUGGGGUGAAAAACCUCUCAAAUCCGAGAAGUCUCGCACCCUUUAUAUAGGGAUGCGAGGGUGCGGUUCGAAGAAGACAGGUGGCGAGGCGAGGGUGAGUCAGUAGCACACGCGUCGGAAGGAGCAAAGGCCAUGAGUGCGAAGUCCGGAUGCGAGACAGCGAGGCAAGGCGUGUGUCGGAUCGCUACUGGGCCGAACUUGGGUCCAAUCAGAAGCUGCCACGAGGAUCCGAGGGGUGUCUCCUGCGAGGGUUGUCGGCUGCCUAUUGGACCUCGGUCUCGGGCCAAUCAAAUGGUGACACGGCGAACUUCGGUCCAACCAGAGGAUGACACUUGGAGGCCUCGCAUGCGAGGUGAUGUGUCCGAGGAGUGAAUCAGCGAAAUUUCCUGGUUUUUAAUAUUUUCUUGAUUUUUGUGCCAAAAACUUGCGAAAAUCACAACUUUCGCAUACGAGCUCCGUUUUUGGCGUUCCUUAUAUGCACGCGUAGGUAAAAUCAUACUCUACGAGUUUCAUUUAGACUUCGUCGGCCAUUUUUGACUUUAUUUUUAACAGACCGGGACAGGAAAAUCCGUUAAAAAUUCAUAACUUCUUCAUCCGACGUCCGUUUUCGUCUGUAUUUUUACCGUUGUGCUACUUUUGAAGAGACCUUCGAUUCUUGUUUAAGUUGCGUCGGCUAAAUAUCGAUCGAUUUAUAUUUCGAAUUUUUAGUUGUCUACUGCUAAACCGAAACUUCGAAAAUUCAUAACUUCCUCAUACGAAGUCAGAUUUUGGCGUUCUUUUUCUGAACGUUCUCGGUUUAACAUAUUCUACAACUUUUAUUUAGAUUGUUAAGGCUAAAAAGGCUUUUAUCAAAAAUUCGCCUUUUACACUGAACAGUGUUUUGCCGGUUUUAUCGCGGAUUUUCGAUUGGUCAUAACUUCUUCGCUAUAAAUCGGAUUUUAGUGUUCUUUAUAUUUUUGGAAUCCUUUAUACAAUCUCUACCACUUGGUUCAUCCCAAUUAUGAUUAUUGAUCAAUUUAUUUUUGACCAAAAUUUGUCUGGUGUCACANAUCCCCCCGUUAGAGGGAAUUUCGUCCCGAAAUUAAGUCUAAAGUGAUACUCAUGGACUAGGUCUAAUCUUUUCCUUCCCAAGUGAAUUCAGGUCCCCGGUUUGUAAUCCAGCGAACCUUCACUAACGGGAUAUGACUUUACAUGGUUCUUUAGAUUUCCCUAUCCAUGGUUUUUAUUGGUUCUUCUACAGAGUGUAGACUUUUAUACAACUUGAUUUUAUCAAGUGAAAUAACAAGUGUUUUAUCGGAUAGACACCUCUUAAAAUUAAAUAUGCGAAAGAUGGGAUGAAUGUUAUUAAGUUUUUGUGGUAGUCUAAGUUUAAAGGUACAAGACGGAUUCUGGUAAUAACCUCAAAUGGUCUUAUGUACGUUGAGUUUUGAAUUUCACGCUUUUUAAAGCGCAUCUUGUCUUUCCUGAGUGAGACCUUCAUAUGACAAGGUCAUCAAUCCUGGAAUUCCAAGGGUUUUCAUUUAUCGAAGCCGUAGUUUCUCUGGUUAACUCUGGAAGCUUUAUGGCGCUUCCCGAUUCGUAUUUUGUUUUUGGUAGUUUCUCGGAUGAAUUCCAAAUCAGCGAGGAUGCUGUGUUGAAAUUGGAUCUCGAGCUAGUUGCGUAUUACCUAAUUUAGUCCAGUGCAGAUGGGAUCUGUACUUGUGACCGCAUAAGGUUUUGAAUAGAGCAACUUGAAUGCUAGUGUGAUAAUGGUCUCGACUAAUUGGUAAUUGGGUAUCCCAUUCUUUACCAUAGUCGAUCCCAUCGAAUCAUGACUACUCUAGUUCCUAGAGAUUUUUGAGUGACGGCCUGAACUGGGAGAUGAUUCUAUUAUCUUAGUGGAGAUAACAGAUAUUGGCAUAUCGUUCACUCACACGUUCUAGUUAUCUUCUCUACUAGCCACAUUUUCAGGUCUCACGACUUCUUAUUGAGCCUCCUUACUUUGUAUGGAGAGAUUUGAAUGGGUUAUCAUAGUCAAUGAUUGGAACUAUGACCUAGGUACUCUUUUCGAAUUAGGGUGUUAGUUACUAUAUUGGCUUUGUCGAGAUGAUAACGAAUUUCAAAUUCGCAGUCAUUUAGUAGCUCGACCCACUGUCGUGGUCUCAUGUUGAAUUCUACCUGGUAGAAUACAUGAUGCUGGCUUUUGCUCCGAAGUUCUUGAUCAGACUCAUAAUUGGCUCAUCCAUCAUCACCUCAUGUAUACAAGUCAUAUAUAAUUUAGAUUUCCCAAAACGUUCAGAUGGGUGACUCUGCCCUAGGUCCACAACCAAACAAGGAACAGGAGAUAGGGCGGAAGCACACAUCCUUAAUCUUGUUAAGUCUAACUUAUAUACCACCCUCGUGUAUACACUUAGCAACAAUAGAUCAAGUUAAUGAGUUCUUAGUCUCUAUUCUUGAACUUGACCUGCGGUAAAAUGAUUUUCCUAUGAGAUCUAUUGAGGUAUUUCAGUAGUUACUAACUUCUAAGACUACUUCUGUGCUUUUCAUUUGAAGUUAGUAGGCUAGAAUGGCGUGGUACUCUUCUCAUGGGUACUUCUAAAGUUUUGAAACGAGAGGAAACCUAAGGGUUUUGUGUUAUGGAUUGAAAGAAUUUCAUCUUACGGCUGAUUAAGGAAAAGUUCUCUUAUACAGCAUAAGAAUUUUCACAUGGUAAGGGCCAGGCCAAACCAUGUUGAAUGAGGAUGUCAGAUUUUUCUCGAUGAAAUAGAUAUUAAGUCGUUCUAGGAUGAAUGAUUACUAGAUUGAUAUCCUAAGUACCUAAGUUUUCCGCGCUUCUGGUUUUAUUCUGUUAUUAUCACUACGAACCCCUUUUUGCUUCGAAGUUGGCGGGUACUACCAAUAUGAGGGUUCUGUUAAUUUGAAAUUAUGAACUUUCAUGAAACAAUCCUUACUAGGUCUCUCUAUAAUUGCUUGGUGCAUACAAGUCAUGUAUAAUUAAGAUUGGUAAGACCUUAGACUGAGCAACCCUGCCCUAAAUCCACAACCAAAAAGGAACAGGAAAUGAGGCGGGAUUACUCACUCUAACUCUACAAAUCUUAAUUAUAAAUGACCCUUAUAUAUACACUAAGUUAUCAUAGUUUACCUGUUAGGGUUUCAAAUUUUUAUAUAAGUGUUAUGAUUUAGUUUGAACGGAAAAGUAAUCAUAAUUAUAAAUAGUUAUCGGGGUUUGGAAGCGUACCAAAAUAUAGCAGGUUUCUUUGAUGCUUUCCCAUGUAUUGGGAUCAAAAUCCUCCUGCUCCCCCUCCGUUCUUCUCUGUUAGACAGUCCCUCUUGUAAUGUCCUUUUUCACCACAAAGGUGACAUAUGGGAAUGAUUCCAACAUCGGUAGUUGAAGUGAUGAACUUGACCGGAGUUCUACAGAUGUGGGCGGUAUGCCCCUUUAUGUUGCAUCUAUUGCAAUGUAGGUCUCGGAAAACUCCCUGAUGAUGGUAGUUGCACUUGCUGCAGUGUAGGAGGUUUCCUAAGUAUGGCUUGGUUGGUGCUAGAAUAACAGGGCUGAUGGGGGUAUCGAUUGCCCCAGUUAGUUGCCCUCUGUUAGGUUCUUGAGUUGAACAACUCCCUUUCAAGUUCUCGAACUUUCAUUUAAGGAUAUUAGUCUUAAGGUUCGAGGUGUCCUUACAAGCAGGUGCUUGUGGUUGUACUUGGCCAUCACCACGAUCAGGGUUACCGAUAGCAUUACUACUAACAUUUACAUUGUUAGCAUUAAGGUGUGUCAGGACAGCUGUUACAGCUGUUGUGACCGCAACUUGAAAUGUAGUUGCAUCUAUCUGAAGGAUUGGUGUUUUGCUGGUGAGUUGGUUACACUUCUUUGGAGGCAUGAUUCUGUUAUAUGUUAAGAAAAUGAGUUCGUGAGCGACUCUCGUGUCUCUAGAUGUAUUCUAACCAUUCGUAUCUAUGUAUUAAUCUUUCGUUUUGUUAUAUUGUUCUUAAUGAUUCGACCUGCAUCCCUAUGAUGCAGUCCUGGUAAGGAAUAUAGUUAAGUUUCUAGAAUGGUUAGGAACCGAGUAUCAUCCGAACUAAGUUACCUUUGGUUGGUGGAUAUCGUUUCCCAAUUUUCGAAAAUAUUCGAAAACAAUUCAUAACAGUGUCUACAUAGACUUAUGAAUUUGAGAAGUAAUCCCCAUCAAUUAAGAUUCUGUGAUCUGAUUUAUGGUCAUUAGCUAUGACAGGAAAAGAGGAUAAGCUCCAAACCUAAUGUGAGUAAUGAAAUCACUAACUCAAUAGGUUGAACCGAUUUACUAGUUAUUACUUAGAUGAAAUGGUGCUCCAACUCUUCACAUGAAUCAUGCGUGGUUUUCCUUUGUUCUCUAUUUUAUUCUCUCCUGAUAUUGAUUUAUUCUCUCCUAGUAUCUAUACAGUGUUUUUCUCCUCUGUAGGUAUAUUGAAUUCCCGGGCUGUCUUACUUCCGAUUCUGACCCUGGUCCCCAUUGCUUCGUAAUGAAGAUUUUGAAUCUUGGAAGUUCAUGCGAAUCUCUCAUUGGUGUCCUUAAUAGGGUAAGGGCACUAAAUGAUUUCUAUAGUUUCUUUACUUCUCAUCUGUUUCUCUCUCAGAAUUCUACUAAUGAAAUUCUGUUGGAUCCUCCUUGACUCUUAUAUUGAUUUCCAGAGUAUUUAUCUAAGGGGUUUAUACAAGAAUGGGAAUGUCUAAAGAAUCUAUGAGAUAAUUUAAAUUUUUACAAAGGUGAUCCUUUCUGGUCCUCCUAUAAUCACAUGGUGUGUACCGAUUAUAUGUAAUCCUGAUCAAAUAGACCUUUGAAUAAGUAAUCCUAUUCUAAAACCACAUCCAAACAAGGAAAAGGAAGUAGAGUGAAAAUCACCUAUUCUAAGUCUAUAAAAUCUCGGCUAUAUAUAACCUUAACGUAUCCACUUAGUACUUAUAGACUUAUUAGAAAAGAUCUUUUUAACAUUUCCCAAAAGUUUAUUUAAAAUACUUCCAUGGUAUUUGAUUCUUGGACUUCCAGAUAUUAGAAGUUGAUAAGUUUUCAGUUUUCUUGUUAUAGCAUCCUAAAAUACUCCUAUAGUAUUUUAACCUUUGUGUUUGGUUCUACAAUUCAUCUGGUACCUAGGUAAGUUUUACACUUGUUGCAACAAUACAAUCACUCCCAAACACAUGUUGGUCAUAUCUCAAAUGAAUAUAGUUGAUCAGGCUAUAUUGAUCCCAUAUAUGAUUACAUAACUGUCUAGGUUUAACUGUAAUGUUCAACAUCCAAAUACUUUUGUUUUGUUCCUCUUGUGAUACUCAUUCUAGUAUAUAUAUUCUGCAUGUACUUAUACUUUUAUAAAAUAUUGUUAUAUUUUUAAAGUAUAACUCUUGGUCAGAGUGUUUUUAUCCCAAUGGGUUUAUAGUUGUAUAUCUUUUAUGACUGAUAUAUUGAGUUCACUAUAAACAAUGCUCUGAUACCAAUCUGUCACACCCCCAAACCAGAACGGCGGAAACGUUCGGGGGCGGAGGACUUCAUGUAAGUAUCACAACACAUGCAAUAUAGUAAUCCAAGUACAAACAACCAUUUCAUUAAUAAGUAUAAGUUUUACAUAAGUGUUUAAACAUUACAUAUUCAAACACCAAAGUAGGUACAGUAGAAGACAAGAGUCGCGGUACGGUACUAGGUAGUCUUCUCAAGAGCUUCGGGAGUGUACCUGUCUACUGGAUUCCUGAGAAUACAAGUUAUUUGAAAAGAGUAGAUCAGCAUUUAAGCUGGUGAGUUCAUAAGUAUUUUAGUUCUGUAAAGUAUACUCUAGGUUCUUUGGAAAAGUUCACUGGUUCCUCCAGAAAAUCCUAUAUUUCCUGAGGUGAUAAACUGAUAACCUCAAUAGUUUCCCUCUGUAAUUACUUAGUUUAUAUUAAUUAUGUAUAACCUAAUAUCGAACUGACAGUGAAAUGGGUGUAUCUGCCCUAAGCCCACAACCAAACAAGGAACAGGAAGUAAGGCGGAAGUCACACAUUUCACUGUCAAUCGGAUAUUACUUAUAUAUAACUCUGAUGUAAUAACUAAGGACUUAUAGAAUUAACCACUAA
rnacentral:lncRNA from 1 species